GACGAACGCUGGCGGCGUGCUUAACACAUGCAAGUCGAACGGAAAGGCCCUGCUUUUGUGGGGUGCUCGAGUGGCGAACGGGUGAGUAACACGUGAGUAACCUGCCCUUGACUUUGGGAUAACUUCAGGAAACUGGGGCUAAUACCGGAUAGGAGCUCCUGCUGCAUGGUGUGGGUUGGAAAGUUUCGGCGGUUGGGGAUAGACUCGCGGCUUAUCAGCUUGUUGGUGGGGUAGUGGCUUACCAAGGCUUUGACGGGUAGCCGGCCUGAGAGGGUUAACGGCCACAUGGGGACUGAGAUACGGCCCAGACUCCUACGGGAGGCAGCAGUGGGGAAUAUUGCACAAUGGGCGGAAGCCUGAUGCAGCAACGCCGCGUGCGGGAUGACGGCCUUCGGGUUGUAAACCGCUUUCGCCUGUGACGAAGCGUGAGUGACGGUAAUGGGUAAAGAAGCACCGGCUAACUACGUG
rnacentral:rRNA from 1 species